rnacentral:rRNA from 1 species
ACUUCAAGAUAAGAUUUCCCACCGCAAGGGUAAGACCCCAGAAAGACUAUCUGGUUGAUAGGUCGAAGGUGUAAGUGCAGCAAUGUAUUUAGCUUAUCGAUACUAAUAGGUCGAGGACUUGACCAAUGUUUAUU